rnacentral:rRNA from 1 species
GAUAAACGCUGGCGGCGCACAUAAGACAUGCAAGUUGAACGGACUUAAUCGAAAUAUUUAUAUUUUGAAGCGGUUAGUGGCGGACUGGUGAGUAACGCGUAAGGAACCUGCCUAUUAGAGGGGAAUAACAGUGAGAAAUCAUUGCUAAUACCGCAUAUGCCAUAGAUAUCACAUGAUAACAGUGGGAAAGGAGCAAUCCGCUAAUAGAUGGCCUUGCGUCUGAUUAGAUAGUUGGUGGGGUAACGGCCUACCAAGUCGACGAUAAGUAGCCGGAGUGAGAGGUUGAACGGAUACAUAGUGAGUGAGAGACGGCACAGACACGGACGGGAGGAAGCAGGAGGGAAUAUUGCGCAAUGGAGGAAAGACGGACGAAGGGACGCUGCGUAUAGGAAGAAGGUUGGCGGAUUGUAAACUAUUGUCGUUAGGGAAGAGAAAGGACAGUACCUAAGGAGGAAGCACCGGCUAACUACGUG